AGCAAAGACCCAGGGUACCCGGUACCGGACCCGGAACCGGUUAGGAUCCGCCGGGUCCGGACCCGGAACUGGUCCCACCGGUUCCGGGACCGGGUCCAAAAUGUCGGACCCGGUUGUAACCGGUUCCGGGACCGGGUCCUAAAAUUUCGGACCCGGUACCCACUGGGUACCCGGUUUAAACCAAUUCCAGUUCCGGGUACCCGGUCCCGGAUCCAGACAAUCCGGGUACCCGGAACCGGUACUGAUUUAGUUAUAAAAUUUUUUUUUGUUUUUUUAAAAAACCCAACAAUUAUGGCCCAACCUAGCCCAAUAUUCCAGAUUUUACCCUAAGUAUAUAAAGCAAAAAAAAAAAAAAACCCUAUUCUAUCCUCUUGACUUCAGACACUCACUUCUCAGUUCUCACUUUCUCACCCUACUCUGCUUCUCUGCUACAGUGGUACUCACCACUCUCACACUCUCGCUCUCCUCUUGACUGUCGACCACCGUUCACCGUCGAGCGUUCACUUCUUAAUUCCUCCAAAGGUAAUUUUUAAACUUUGCAUAUCAAAUUAUCAAUUGCGAAUUUGCGAUUAUGUAUUUAUUCGGUUUAGAUCUGAAAAACGAAAGCUAAUUUUUAGGGUUUUAAUCAUGAAUAGUGUUAAUUAUGAAAAUUACUAUUAAAGAUGAGUUUGAAUCAUGAUAAAAUUACAAAUUACAAGUACAAAUUAGUUAAACAUUCAGAUUUGUUCCUUCCCUUGAAUUCUCUAGUAUUUUGGGUGAAUAUAAACUCGAUUGUGUUGAUUGUGCUUCUUCCCUUUCGUUUUAACUUAUGUUUUUUUUUUAUAAAAAUCAUAUUAUCGAAGAAGAAUCGUGGGGUUUAAUACUUUAAUGGGUUUAAUCGUUUAUUCUCAGAUUUCGCAAGUUUAAUGGUUUUUAUUCUGUUUAUUUUGCUAUUUUUUAGGCAUUUUUAUUGCGUAAUCUAUUGAAUUACUGAUCUUUCAGUUUCUAGGUUUUACUUUGAUAUGUUGUGAUGUUGUCAUUGUGUCAAGUGUCUUGAUCUGUUUAGUCUCAAGGUUUAAUGUAUUGAUGUUGUUCUGCUUCUUUGCAUUGCUGUUGUGUUGGUGUCAAGUUUCAUGAAUUGAUUUAGUUUAUGGGUUUAAGCUAUUUCUUGUUUUAUUGAGCUGGUCUUUUCUGAAAUUUGUAGUUGUGGAGAAAGAUGUAGAUGGUGAUGCAUGUGCAGGAACUACAGUUGGAUUUCUAUGUAGAAUUCUGCUUGUUUAAAAGGUUUUUAUAGAGGAGAAAGUGUUUCAACAACUAAAGGAACCUUCUUUUCAUAAGAUUAAUUACCAUUUUUUCUUUAUUAAGUUCCAAUUCCUUUUUGUAUUCUUCAUGAAGAUGAUGUACUAGGAUCUGUGCAUAUUGUCUCUCCUUUCUUUCUUUGUGUUUAUGUGAGUGAGACAAUAUCAGUUCUGACUGUUGUAUGUAUUUGUGUAAUGCAUAUAAUCACUCUCACUUUGUGUAAUGUUUAUGUCUUAUUAAAGUUUAAUUUGUUCCUAUUUCAGAACUAUGAGCAAUACCGACAAUUCGUCAGUCCCUAUGGAUGAUGAAAGUGAGGUUGGAAACGAGAAUGCAACAACCAAAUCAACCAAGGUUGGUGACAAGAGGAAGUCUGAAUACUGGAACCAUUUUUGGGAUUUUAGAGAUCCAGUAACCAAAAAAAUUGUUCAAGUCAAAUGCAAAUAUUGUGAGAAAAUGCUAACAGGUAAUACUAAUAAUGGAACUUCUUCAUUAAAGAAACACCUUGGUGCAUGUUCAAAAUACCCUCCAAAUGUAGACAAAAAGCAAAAACUCAACAUUGGCUAAGGACAUUUUGGCUAUACCAAUUUCUACGGUUUCUAGUGAAUCCGCAUUUAGUACAUCGGGUCGCAUACUUGAUCAAUUUCGUAGUAGUUUGGGGCCAAAUAUGGUGGAAGCUUUAGUUUGUACUCAAGAUUGGUUAAGGGCGUCAAAUGUAUGCAUUGAUAUUGAGCGCUUCCUUGAGGAUGUUCAAAAAUAUGAAGAAGAAUUGGAUGGUAGUGACACUGGCAUCACACAAGUUAAUGAAUUUGUUGGAAAUAAUUGAUGUGACAAAGGUUUGUAUAAUUGUAUUCUUAAUUAUAUUGUAUGAAAAGAUAUCAAAUGACAAAUAUUCUAAGGACAUUUUGGCUUUUGUUUAUAGGGAAUUUGUGCUUCCUUGUUGGCUGCUGCCUCUUUGCUUUGUUGUCUGCUGUAUGCUGUCUUUCUCCGUUGCUUAGAUGGUUGCUGACUUGCUGCUGGUCUUGUUGCUGGCUGAUGGUGUGCUCAGCUGCUGCCUGCUGAUGGUGUGCUCAGCUGCUGCCUGUUGCUGCCCUUCCUUUUCUUCCCUUUUUUUUUCUGAACUUUUAUUUAAGUAGUUGUUUUGGUUAUGUUUGGAUGUUUGGACUUUGCAGCAUUGUUGAAGUUUGUUGUACUGAUAUUUUAGGUUGUUGAAUUGGUACUUUUUGGCUUAUUAGUUUGUAAUAUUUGUAUUUUGAAAUAUUUGUAUUUUGCUAGCCUCCAAAACUAAUUUAGGGAUAUUAUUAUGUUAA